GGCCAGUUCUGCAAGAAAGGCAAGGAGGAGGAGACUGGCUCACACCUCUGGAGGUUGGUGAGAAGGGGGAGGGGGCAAUUCAGGGGACAGUUGGAGAAAGAGAGCAUGGCAGGUGGCUUUGAGACCAGUGGGUGCAGACCCACUUCUACUCUGCUGGAUUUGCACAGUGCCAGCAUCCUUUUUAUUUCUUGCAGGGGACAUGAGAUAGGUGUAGGUUGUGUUGUGACUCAGAAAGACCUGAGAGCAGGGACCAGGACACAGGAAACCAUAGAUACAUUGAACCCUUGAAUGGGAAGACAGAUAUUUGUCACAGGAGCCAGAGUGCUUGCCUAUCUACCAUUCUCCAUUCUCUCCUGUAUGUUUACUUGUCUGUAGGACCCCCUUCUGUCAGCUGUGGGGCUUGACACUACUUGAACAAGAAAAGGAGGGGGAAACUGCACCACAUAAGUGAAGAUCCACCUCCAGUGGCUGCUCUGCUGGUGGUGGGGUUGCUGCUGACAACCACCCUCAACGGGUCUGCACCCAUCCAGGAAAUCUCUGUCUUCCUCAAGCUUGGUUGUGCCUGUUCUACACUCUAUCUGUAUUAUUGAAUUACUGACUGAGACUGUGUUUGGGAAGGAGGCUGAGUGACUACUGGACUGGAUAUUGACUCUAACUCUUGUUUCCAAGCUUAUAUCCUCAAUCACCUA
rnacentral:lncRNA from 1 species